rnacentral:rRNA from 1 species
CCUACGGGAGGCAGCAGUGGGGAAUAUUGCACAAUGGGCGAAAGCCUGAUGCAGCGACGCCGCGUGAGGGAUGACGGCCUUCGGGUUGUAAACCUCUUUCAGCAGGGAAGAAGCGAAAGUGACGGUACCUGCAGAAGAAGCGCCGGCUAACUACGUGCCAGCAGCCGCGGUAAUACGUAGGGCGCAAGCGUUGUCCGGAAUUAUUGGGCGUAAAGAGCUCGUAGGCGGCUUGUCACGUCGGGUGUGAAAGCCCGGGGCUUAACCCCGGGUCUGCAUUCGAUACGGGCUAGCUAGAGUGUGGUAGGGGAGAUCGGAAUUCCUGGUGUAGCGGUGAAAUGCGCAGAUAUCAGGAGGAACACCGGUGGCGAAGGCGGAUCUCUGGGCCAUUACUGACGCUGAGGAGCGAAAGCGUGGGGAGCGAACAGGAUUAGAUACCCUGGUAGUCCACGCCGUAAACGGUGGGAACUAGGUGUUGGCGACAUUCCACGUCGUCGGUGCGCNGCUACGCAUAGUUACCCGUCCGUCGGAGGUACGGCCGCGAGACGUAAACGUUAAACGUAGUAGUAAGUACGUCGUUGAGUAGUUCGACGACGACGACGACGGAGGGAGGAG